UUUUAAUGAGAGUUUGAUCCUGGCUCAGGACGAACGCUGGCGGCGUGCCUAAUACAUGCAAGUAGAACGCUGAUGUUUGGUGUUUACACUAGACUGAUGAGUUGCGAACGGGUGAGUAACGCGUAGGUAACCUGCCUCAUAGCGGGGGAUAACUAUUGGAAACGAUAGCUAAUACCGCAUAAGAGUGAUUAACACAUGUUAGUUAUUUAAAAGGAGCAAUUGCUUCACUGU
rnacentral:rRNA from 1 species